rnacentral:rRNA from 1 species
GGUCAAGCGAAUAAGCGCACACGGUGGAUGCCUUGGCGGUCAGAGGCGAUGAAGGACGUGGCAGCCUGCGAAAAGUAUCGGGGAGCUGGCAACAAGCUUUGAUCCGGUAAUGUCCGAAUGGGGAAACCCACCCGCUUGCGGGUAUCCUGCAGUGAAUACAUAGCUGCUGGAAGCGAACCUGGUGAACUGAAAUAUCUAAGUAACCAGAGGAAAAGAAAUCAACCGAGAUUCCGUAAGUAGCGACGAGCGAACGCGGACUAGCCCUUAAGCUGAUUUGGUUCUAGGAAAACGCUCUGGAAAGAGCGGCCAUAGAAGGUGAUAGCCCUGUAUCUGAAAGGGCCAUUUCAGUGAAGACGAGUAGGGCGGGGCACGUGAAACCCUGUCUGAACAUGGGGGGACCAUCCUCCAAGGCUAAAUACUACUGACCGACCGAUAGUGAACCAGUACCGUGAGGGAAAGGCGAAAAGAACCCCGGAGAGGGGAGUGAAAUAGAACCUGAAACCGUGUGCGUACAAGCAGUAGGAGCUCCGCAAGGAGUGACUGCGUACCUUUUGUAUAAUGGGUCAGCGACUUACUGUUCGUGGCAAGCUUAACCGUAUAGGGGAGGCGAAGGGAAACCGAGUCUGAUAAGGGCGCAUAGUCGCGGGCAGUAGACCCGAAACCGGGUGAUCUAGUCAUGCCCAGGGUGAAGGUGCGGUAACACGCACUGGAGGCCCGAACCCACUCCCGUUGCAAAGGUAGGGGAUGAGGUGUGAUUAGGAGUGAAAAGCUAAUCGAACCCGGAGAUAGCUGGUUCUCCUCGAAAGCUAUUUAGGUAGCGCCUCAUAUGUAUCCUCUCGGGGGUAGAGCACUGUUAUGGCUAGGGGGUCAUCGCGACUUACCAAACCAUUGCAAACUCCGAAUACCGAGACGGACUGUAUGGGAGACACACGGCGGGUGCUAACGUCCGUCGUGAAAAGGGAAACAACCCAGACCCACAGCUAAGGUCCCAAAUUUUGUGCUAAGUGGAAAACCAUGUGGAAAGGCACAGACAGCCAGGAGGUUGGCUUAGAAGCAGCCACCCUUUAAAGAAAGCGUAAUAGCUCACUGGUCGAGUCGGUCUGCGGGGAAGAUUUAACGGGGCUAAGCACAGAACCGAAGCUUGGGGUGCAUACUUUGUAUGCGCGGUAGAGGAGCGUUCCGUAAGCCGUUGAAGGUGGAUUGAGAAGUCUGCUGGAGGUAUCGGAAGUGCGAAUGCUGACAUGAGUAACGAUAAUGCGGGUGAAAAACCCGCACGCCGAAAGCCCAAGGUUUCCUUGCGCAACGUUAAUCGGCGCAGGGUGAGUCGGCCCCUAAGGCGAGGACGAAAGUCGUAGUCGAUGGGAAGCAGGUUAAUAUUCCUGCACCUCGCGUAAGUGCGAUGGAGGGACGGAGAAGGUUAGGUGUACCAGGCGUUGGUUGUCCUGGGGAAAGGCGGUAGGUUUGGAUCUUUGGCAAAUCCGGGAUCCUCUAAGACCGAGCACCGAGACGAGCCUUUAUGGCGAAGUCACUGAUACCACGCUUCCAGGAAAAGCUCCUAAGCUUCAGCUUACGCAGACCGUACCGUAAACCGACACAGGUGGGUAGGAUGAGAAUUCUCAGGCGCUUGAGAGAACUCGGGUGAAGGAACUAGGCAACAUGGCACCGUAACUUCGGGAGAAGGUGCACCCUUUUUGGUGGCUCGUGCGAGCUAUAGCUGAAGAGGGUCGCAGUAACCAGGCCGCUGCGACUGUUUAUCAAAAACACAGCACUCUGCAAACACGAAAGUGGACGUAUAGGGUGUGACGCCUGCCCGGUGCUGGAAGGUUAAUUGAUGGGGUCAGCCGCAAGGCGAAGCUCUUGAUCGAAGCCCCAGUAAACGGCGGCCGUAACUAUAACGGUCCUAAGGUAGCGAAAUUCCUUGUCGGGUAAGUUCCGACCUGCACGAAUGGCGUAACGACAGCGGCGCUGUCUCCACCCGAGACUCAGUGAAAUUGAAAUCGCUGUGAAGAUGCAGCGUUCCCGUGGCAAGACGGAAAGACCCCGUGAACCUUUACUAUAGCUUUACACUGAACGUUGAGUUCGUCUGUGUAGGAUAGGUGGGAGGCUAUGAAACUGUGGCGCUAGCUGCAGCGGAGCCAUCCUUGAAAUACCACCCUGUCGUGCUUGACGUUCUAACCUGGGCCCAUUAUCUGGGUCGGGGACCGUGUAUGGUGGGUAGUUUGACUGGGGCGGUCUCCUCCUAAAGAGUAACGGAGGAGCUCGAAGGUACGCUCAGCGCGGUCGGACAUCGCGCACUGUGUGCAAAGGCAUAAGCGUGCUUGACUGCAAGAUCGACGGAUCAAGCAGGUAGGAAACUAGGACUUAGUGAUCCGGUGGUUCUGUAUGGAAGGGCCAUCGCUCAACGGAUAAAAGGUACUCCGGGGAUAACAGGCUGAUACCGCCCAAGAGUUCAUAUCGACGGCGGUGUUUGGCACCUCGAUGUCGGCUCAUCACAUCCUGGGGCUGUAGUCGGUCCCAAGGGUAUGGCUGUUCGCCAUUUAAAGUGGUACGCGAGCUGGGUUCAGAACGUCGUGAGACAGUUCGGUCCCUAUCUGCCAUGGGCGUUGGAGAUUUGAGAGGGGCUGCUCCUAGUACGAGAGGACCGGAGUGGACGAACCUCUGGUGUUCCGGUUGUCACGCCAGUGGCAUUGCCGGGUAGCUAUGUUCGGAAGCGAUAACCGCUGAAAGCAUCUAAGCGGGAAGCGCGCCUCAAGAUGAGAUCUCCCGGGGCACAAGCCCCCUGAAGGAACCAUGUAGACUACGUGGUUGAUAGGUCAGGUGUGUAAGUACAGCAAUGUAUUGAGCUAACUGAUACUAAUGAUCCGUGCGGCUUGACCAU